rnacentral:misc_RNA from 1 species
GAGGGGGGCUUCGCGCUCCAGGGGGCUCCGGCCCCCGACUCUUCACCCCGUGAAUAUCUAUCCUCAUUGUUGCUUUGGCAGGUCUUGGGUCACGCCGCCCAUGCCGGUCCGCUGGCGAGUGCCCGCCGAAAGCCCCCAAAACUCGUUUCUAUACGUGAAGUCUGAGCACCAACAAAUGAAUCAAAACUUUCAACAACGGAUCUCUUGGUUCU